rnacentral:rRNA from 1 species
UUCCAGACUCCUACGGGAGGCAGCAGUGGGGGAUAUUGCACAAUGGGGGGAACCCUGAUGCAGCGACGCCGCGUGGGUGAAGAAGCGCCUCGGCGCGUAAAGCCCUGUCAGCAGGGAAGAAAAUGACGGUACCUGAAGAAGAAGCCCCGGCUAACUUCGUGCCAGCAGCCGCGGUAAUACGUAGGGGGCAAGCGUUAUCCGGAUUUAUUGGGUGUAAAGGGGGCGCAGACGGCGAUGCAAGCCAGGAGUGAAAGCCCGGGGCCCAACCCCGGGACUGCUCUUGGAACUGCGUGGCUAGAGUGCAGGAGGGGCAGGCGGAAUUCCUGGUGUAGCGGUGAAAUGCGUAGAUAUCAGGAGGAACACCGGUGGCGAAGGCGGCCUGCUGGACUGCGACUGACGUUGAGGCCCGAAAGCGUGGGGAGCAAACAGGAUUAGAUACCCCCGUAAUA